CCAAAGAAGGGUUCAUUGCAAGCAGGUUAGAUACAAACACGGGUUGUCGGCAUUUAUAGAGAUAAAGACUAUGGAGGCGCGCGGUUUAACUUCAUCAAAAUCCGCGGGAGUUUUUAAACGUCUUUCAGCGGGAAUUAAUUUGCUCCCUGUGGCUGCUGUCUUGCAUUUGGCCCUUUAAUAUCCUAAUGAAAUUAAGGGAUUGAAGCCCAAAGCCCAGUUCACACACUGCAUGCUUUGUGAACCGCCUCCUAGAGCCUCGGAGUCAGGCAGUAUAUAAUACCUUAUCAUUAGGUCAUACUAAAGCCUAACAAUAUGACAUAGUAGUACAUUCCAGGUGUUGGAAGAGUGCGUCAUCUCGGCCAGCAGCACAAAAUCCCCACAAGCUGGAAGACUUGGUGCCUCCCAGGGACGACUCUGCCCGCUCUGACAGCUCGAUUGAGGGUGAUGGAUGACUAUCGGGAGACCGCAGUACACCUAAUAUAAUCAUAUCUGCCGCGUAAUUGCUAUAAUUUACCGAGGCAAAGACUUGGCUCUAGGAGGAUUGAGUUAAAGGCGGCAAAGGAGCCCAGCAACAUCUCCAGGAGAGUAGGGCUUCCGAUCCUACGACCGCUUACUUCCAAGAAAGGAGCGAGGCUUACUUUUAAGAAAAUGCCUUCACCGUAAGGAGGAUGCCAGCCGCUUGGCACUUUCAGCAGUGGACUGGGGGUAUCACAGCUAGCACCCCCAAUCCGUCCACACUAUAGCCCUAUCCACACAUUAUGGACAAAAACGUAGAUACAACCUGUGCAUUACCUACAGAAUACGUUGCAGUUUAUUCCCACGUUAUGAUGCACACAGGUACAGCAGCACAAUUCCAAGCUGUAGCCUGCAUUUCAGGAUGCCUGUAGUCAGGUUCACUUUUAAAAUGAACACGGGUACAGCCGUUCACACACAAAUAUGUAGAUGCGCACAGACACCUGAAGGCAGGUACAACAUAAUGUCUGAAUAGGUGUUACGCGAAAAAAAGUUCCAAUGGAAACAAUGGAGCUGACUUCCAAGAAACAGCCCGAUCCCCCUAUGCAUGUUUUUCUCAAAAGUGAGUCUCCCUCUAUCCAAAGGGACAAGGGCAGACGGCAGUCUGGGGAAAGGGGCUGAUAACCGCUUCUCCGAUGCUGUAUUUACACCUCUCGCGGCUGUUUUUCAGUGAAAGUAAAUGUCUGGAGAUCCAGCCACGGAUCUCCUGUUUAAAGUGAGGUUUGGCCUUUUUUUCAGUGGUACGCUUAUUUGUUUAGACCAUAGGUGGUGACAAAAUGCACGGAAUUUACUCUAGUGCGCACAGAACCGCAGUUUUUGUCCUCUAGGGUGUGUGAGAGAGGGUGGUGGGAGGUGGGCGGGUGGUAAAAUUUAGGAAAUAAGUAUUAGCUUCGGCAGGGCAGGGCGUACAAAUUGAUCCUCUUUAUAAACUCCUUCAAAUGGCUUCCGAGAGCAACUGGAUCCAGAUACCGGAACGAAGUCGAUUGGCACAUGCGCGAUCUUACAUGGGUUUAAGUCGCAUAGAGUUCCGUGGGGCGCUCUUCCACCUAAGGCGCUCAGGAUAAUAUAUCGGAAUACGGACAUCUCCGAUUUGGAGACCACUUGAAGAGGCUUUACUGGUUCUGAGUGAUAGCCAAAUCGGGUUCAGCGGACUCACGUCAAGUGCUUCGGGGAUCGCAAAAGACUUACUGUUAGUGAAUGUGGGUGGAGGUGGAGGAGGGAGGGGAAGAAAGUCAUCCUUUCUCGUUGCUUCCUGAACAGGCUGUGAAAUUGAUUCUUUUCGUCCUUGCUGAGGGCUCUCCCUUCGUGUAGCUCGGCAGAAGGAAGGAACCAGCCAACUGGGAAACCUCUUGCAGAAACAAAAACUGUUUCUCUUGGUUUCCUUGUAGUGAAUGAUCUGGGGUUUGCAGACACACUUUAGUUGGAUUGCCAACCAAACUGUAACGUAGAAUAAUUAUGGGAGACCGAGACACCAAAGGCGUCAUCCUUGCCAUGCUUACGCAAGGAGUAAGCCCAAUUGAUUGCCAUAGAACUGACUUCCAGGUAUACGUACCUUAGGCACGCAGCUUUAAUCCCUGUCUCAGAAGACAGGAGAGAAUCUGAGAAUUACCCAGCCUGUAUGUCGCCGGUGCACUGGGGUUUGUUUACUGCAACACGCAGGCGCGUCAUUCACCAGGGGCUGGUGGGGGGGGGGGCGCGCGCGCUGCCUUGAUCUCUAGAGCAGCUCAGCGAUAAACGCUGCAAUUAGUUGACUGAGGUAGAGAACUGUGUUACCGUUUGUAGAAGAGCAUCUUUCGAAACGUUGUAAACCCGUCUCUUGACAGGACCACCAGAGCCCCUUGAAUACGACGGCAAAACAAACCCAGAUACGUUUACUUGGAAGUCAGUCCCACGGAGCUCAAUGGGGCUCCCUUCUAAGCAUGUCCUAUAUAAGUGGAACUUACUUGUUUCUAAAUAAAGUUGCACAGGAGCAAAA